GUUGAACGCUGGCGGCAGGCCUAACACAUGCAAGUCGAGCGGACGAAGGGGGCUUGUUCCUCUCUUCUGUGGGCGGCGGACGGGUGAGUCCCAGGAGUAUGACCUGCCGAGGGGGCUGAGGUCCCUUCACGGGCCCUAAUAUCGUAUCCGUCAUGAGUGUGGACGUCGGGGUUCUUAGGUGCACGAGCUAUUAGAUGACCCUAGGUCGGAUUUGCUAGUUGCGGGGGUAAAGGCCUAACAAGGCGGCGAUCCGUAGCUGGACUGAGAGGAUGAUCAGUCACACUGGAACUGAGACACGGUCCAGACUCCUACGGGAGGCAGCAGUGGGGAAUAUUGGACAAUGGGCGAAAGCCUGAUCCAGCCAUGCCGCGUGUGUGAAGAAGGUCUUCGGAUUGUAAAGCACUUUAAGUUGGGAGGAAGGGCAGUAAGUGAAUACCUUGCUGUUUUGACGUUACCAACAGAAUAAGCACCGGCUAACUUCGUG
rnacentral:rRNA from 1 species